GAUGAACGCUGGCGGCGUGCUUAACACAUGCAAGUCGAACGAGAAGUGAAGACGGAAACCUUCGGGCGGAAGGCUUUAUUUCGAGUGGCGGACGGGUGAGUAACGCGUGGGUAACCUGCCUCAUACAGGGGGAUAACAGUUGGAAACGACUGUUAAUACCGCAUAAGGCCACAGCACCGCAUGGUGCGGGGGUAAAAACUCCGGUGGUAUGAGAUGGACCCGCGUUCGAUUAGCCAGUUGGCGGGGUAACGGCCCACCAAAGCGACGAUCGAUAGCCGAUCUGAGAGGAUGACCGGCCACAUUGGGACUGAGACACGGCCCAAACUCCUACGGGAGGCAGCAGUGGGGAAUAUUGCACAAUGGGGGAAACCCUGAUGCAGCGACGCCGCGUGAGUGAAGAAGUAUUUCGGUAUGUAAAGCUCUAUCAGCAGGGAAGAAAAUGACGGUACCUGAGGAAGAAGCCCCGGCUAACUACGUG
rnacentral:rRNA from 1 species